UCAAACUCGAUACCACAGGAUUAUAACACUCAAACACACUGUGAACCAACCACUUGCGCUAGGCCACGGUGGUGUAUAUGGAGAAAUUUGAGUUGUCAUGAAAUGAUUAAAGAAAAAAGAGAAUGAGUGGUGUCACUGAAAUCAGAUUUGAUAAUUUGUGACUGAAAUGAUCUGAUUUUACCAAAUCCUAAUGAAGUAGUGCUGUUGGAAGAUAUAUUUGAACAUGUAAAGUGUAAACAUUUUAUUUCACUAUUUAUUAGGGAUCCUGUGCUCAUAAAAAAGAUUGGAGAUGCAACUGCCCUUGAAGUUAGAGCUACAGGAAUUCCAUAUGUCUUUGCCCCAUGUAUUGCGGUAAUGAAGCAAUGUUUCGAUAUUCUGUUGUGUUUGAAUUACAUAUAACAUUAAUCAAAUCUGCUGAUAUGAUGAUGAACUAUUCAUCCACAGGUUUGCAGAGAUCCAAGGUGGGGACGUUGCUAUGAAAGUUACAGUGAGGAUCAUCAGAUUGUUCGAACUAUGACAGAAAUUAUACCUGGUCUGCAAGGAGAUAUUCCUGGCGAUUCCAGGAAGGGAGUUCCCUUUGUUGCUGGAAAGUAAGGAUUUUGUUUCAAGCUUUGUUUUGAAAAGAAAAUUUUAUUGAGCAAACCAACUGAAUACAAAUUAUUUAAUACAUAAAUGGGUUAUAUAAUUAUAUGGUUAUUAGUCUUGUUAUUGUAUGGUUGGUGAUAUUCUAUGAAGGACUUGUUAUGAUUAGAAAUCAAACUCGAUACCACAGGAUUAUAACACUCAAACACACUGUGAACCAACCACUUGCGCUAGGCCACGGUGGUGUAUAUGGAGAAAUUUGAGUUGUCAUGAAAUGAUUAAAGAAAAAAGAGAAUGAGUGGUGUCACUGAAAUCAGAUUUGAUAAUUUGUGACUGAAAUGAUCUGAUUUUACCAAAUCCUAAUGAAGUAGUGCUGUUGGAAGAUAUAUUUGAACAUGUAAAGUGUAAACAUUUUAUUUCACUAUUUAUUAGGGAUCCUGUGCUCAUAAAAAAGAUUGGAGAUGCAACUGCCCUUGAAGUUAGAGCUACAGGAAUUCCAUAUGUCUUUGCCCCAUGUAUUGCGGUAAUGAAGCAAUGUUUCGAUAUUCUGUUGUGUUUGAAUUACAUAUAACAUUAAUCAAAUCUGCUGAUAUGAUGAUGAACUAUUCAUCCACAGGUUUGCAGAGAUCCAAGGUGGGGACGUUGCUAUGAAAGUUACAGUGAGGAUCAUCAGAUUGUUCGAACUAUGACAGAAAUUAUACCUGGUCUGCAAGGAGAUAUUCCUGGCGAUUCCAGGAAGGGAGUUCCCUUUGUUGCUGGAAAGUAAGGAUUUUGUUUCAAGCUUUGUUUUGAAAAGAAAAUUUUAUUGAGCAAACCAACUGAAUACAAAUUAUUUAAUACAUAAAUGGGUUAUAUAAUUA
rnacentral:lncRNA from 1 species